GUAUAUAGUGUCCUUUUUUAUUAUUAUAUUAUUAUUUUUGAAUGCUAGCAAUUAGAGUUAAAUUAAGAAAUAAAAAAAAGUAUAUGAAUUGAAAACGAAUUAAUGAAUGUGAAUUGAAAAUGAUAUUAUGAAUCGAAUACAUCCACCUAUUUCCCAUACGCCUUGCACACCCUAACUAUAUAUCUAUGAACGCACACCUCACGUUAUGCGCUACCAUUGAGCGCUACCACCGAAAGCCACAGUCGGUCAUAACCGUCAAUGUCAUCUGACGUCUGGAAAGAACGACAUAGCAGAAGCCAAAAACGAGAACCGAGGAUGGAAUAAAAACAGCUGGAAUCAGCGAGUCCAGCUCUCUAUCAGUGAACGAUAUCGUCGAAGGUCAAAGUUGGCCAUUAGUGAAGUGACGCGUGGUGAAACCCCGGUUGUGAAGUGCCUGUAGUUUCGACGGGCGGUCCUCGCUGCUUCAACCCCUGGUGGACGCGGGUUAUUCAUCAUCCAAUUUAAGAAGUGAACCGUCGAAAGCCAUGAUGUGGAGAAAGCCAAGCUGUAUAAACCAAGCCCGGACCGCGCAGAGAAACCGUCGAAUCCGCCACGCUCGCUGUUAGAGGUUCCCGUCGAUGCUCGACCCAGUUCCGGACGCUACCUGUGCCUGAAGAAGUUUGCCGGCGUGUAUGAGGGAGCGCUGAACGAGAAAAUGGAGAAUCCCACCCCGGCGAGGAAGCGGUUGUGCUGUGGUACGUGCACGAAUGCA